rnacentral:rRNA from 1 species
GAUGAACGCUGGCGGCGUGCCUAAUACAUGCAAGUCGAGCGAACAGACGAGGAGCUUGCUCCUCUGACGUUAGCGGCGGACGGGUGAGUAACACGUGGAUAACCUACCUAUAAGACUGGGAUAACUUCGGGAAGCCGGAGCUAAUACCGGAUAAUAUAUUGAACCGCAUGGUUCAAUAGUGAAGGACGGUUUUGCUGUCACUUAUAGAUGGAUCCGCGCCGCAUUAGCUAGUUGGUAAGGUAACGGCUUACCAAGGCGACGAUGCGUAGCCGACCUGAGAGGGUGAUCGGCCACACUGGAACUGAGACACGGUCCAGACUCCUACGGGAGGCAGCAGUAGGGAAUCUUCCGCAAUGGGCGAAAGCCUGACGGAGCAACGCCGCGUGAGUGAUGAAGGUCUUCGGAUCGUAAAACUCUGUUAUUAGGGAAGAACAAAUGUGUAAGUAACUAUGCACGUCUUGACGGCACCUAAUCAGAAAGCCACGGCUAACUACGUG